CAUGCCAAUGGCACUGCCCGGUAGCUAAAUGCGGAAGAGAUAAGUGCUGAAAGCAUCUAAGUACGAAACUUGCCCCGAGAUGAGUUCUCCCUGAGACUUUAGGUCUCCUGAAGGAACGUUGAAGACGACGACGUUGAUAGGCCGGGUGUGUAAGCGCAGCGAUGCGUUGAGCUAACCGGUACUAAUGAACCGUGAGGCUUA
rnacentral:rRNA from 1 species